CAAAUUAUAGCUUAAUUAAGUAUUUCAUUUACAUUGAAAAGAUAGUGAAAAUUUCAUUUAAUUUGA
rnacentral:tRNA from 1 species